rnacentral:tRNA from 1 species
UGCAGGGUGGAGCAGUCCGGCAGCUCGUCAGGCUCAUAACCUGAAGGUCCUGGGUUCAAAUCCCAGCCCUGCACCCA